CCUGAGAAACCCAAAAGAUCGAAUGGGGAGAUUCAGCGUCAGCGCAUUUGGUAUAUGUGCAAGUUGCGAUGUAAGUUAUCCUUGUGAUAUUAUUUGCACGUGCUUGUGUCAUUUAAUUGCCGGAUGUCGUCGGCGUGCACUUCUCCCCUAGUAGGACGUCGCGACCCGUUGGGUGUCGGUCUACGGCCCGAAUGGUAGUCUUUAAUGUCGCCGCGAGGUGUUAUAUUGAAGACCAUCGGUGUUUCCUGACCGGCUGCCCGGCGGUAUUCGCACGGUAUUGAGCCGCAAUUUUUGCGUCGGACCCGCCGCAAGCGAGGCCAGUGUCUAACCCGGUAGUACGGACCUAGUGCCGUCGCUGGGCCUGGCCAGCUGUUGGUUGUUGCGGUGUUCUUUGACUGGCUCAUUAUGAUAAUAUAUAAUUACCGGUCGGCGACGCUACUGCUUUGGGUACUUUCAGGACCCGUCUUGAAACACGGACCAAGGAGUCUAACAUGUGCGCGAGUCAUUGGGAUUUAUUUUUUUAAAACAAACCUAAAGGCGUAAUGAAAGUGAAGGUCGUCCUUGCGUCGACCGAGGGAGGAUGAGUCGCGUUACGAUGCGGCUCCGCACUCCCGGGGCGUCUCGUUCACAUUAUGCGAAGAGGCGCACCCAG
rnacentral:rRNA from 1 species